ACUUGUCUCUUAAAUAAAGACUAGUAUGAACGGCAAGACGAAAGCUUAACUGUCUCCUUUACCCAGUCAAUGAAACUGAUCCCCCCGUACAAAAGCUGGGAUUAAACAAUAAGACGAGAAGACCCUAUGGAACUUUAAACACGCACCAACCCACGUUAUAAUUACAAAAUACUUGACACGCUGUUUUUGGUUGGGGCAACCACGGAGAAAAAUAAUCCUCCAAGAAAAUUAAACCAAGUAACACAAAACAAAAUUUUACCACUUUACAACUCGACCCAGUACAACUGAUCAACGAACCAAGCUACCCUAGGGAUAACAGCGCUAUCUUCUUCAAGAGCCCAUAUCGCCAAGAAG
rnacentral:rRNA from 1 species